rnacentral:rRNA from 1 species
GUGGGGGAUAUUGCACAAUGGAGGAAACUCUGAUGCAGCGACGCCGCGUGAGUGAAGAAGUAUUUCGGUAUGUAAAGCUCUAUCAGCAGGGAAGAUAAUGACAGUACCUGACUAAGAAGCCCCGGCUAACUACGUGCCAGCAGCCGCGGUAAUACGUAGGGGGCAAGCGUUAUCCGGAUUUACUGGGUGUAAAGGGAGCGUAGACGGAAUGGCAAGUCUGAAGUGAAAUCCUGCGGCUUAACUGCAGAAUUGAUUUGGAAACUGUCAAUCUGGAGUGUUGGAGAGGUAAGCGGAAUUCCUGGUGUAGCGGUGAAAUGCGUAGAUAUCAGGAAGAACACCGGAGGCGAAGGCGGCUUACUGGACAAUAACUGACGUUGAGGCUCGAAAGCGUGGGAAGCAAACAGGAUUAGAUACCCUGGUAGUCC